GGGUUGUGAGGUUAAGCGACUAAGCGUACACGGUGGAUGCCCUGGCAGUCAGAGGCGAUGAAGGACGUGCUAAUCUGCGAUAAGCGUCGGUAAGGUGAUAUGAACCGUUAUAACCGGCGAUUUCCGAAUGGGGAAACCCAGUGUGUUUCGACACACUAUCAUUAACUGAAUCCAUAGGUUAAUGAGGCGAACCGGGGGAACUGAAACAUCUAAGUACCCCGAGGAAAAGAAAUCAACCGAGAUUCCCCCAGUAGCGGCGAGCGAACGGGGAGGAGCCCAGAGCCUGAAUCAGUGUGUGUGUUAGUGGAAGCGUCUGGAAAGGCGCGCGAUACAGGGUGACAGCCCCGUACACAAAAAUGCACAUGCUGUGAGCUCGAUGAGUAGGGCGGGACACGUGGUAUCCUGUCUGAAUAUGGGGGGACCAUCCUCCAAGGCUAAAUACUCCUGACUGACCGAUAGUGAACCAGUACCGUGAGGGAAAGGCGAAAAGAACCCCGGCGAGGGGAGUGAAAAAGAACCUGAAACCGUGUACGUACAAGCAGUGGGAGCCUCUUAAUGGGGUGACUGCGUACCUUUUGUAUAAUGGGUCAGCGACUUAUAUUCUGUAGCAAGGUUAACCGAAUAGGGGAGCCGAAGGGAAACCGAGUCUUAACUGGGCGUUAAGUUGCAGGGUAUAGACCCGAAACCCGGUGAUCUAGCCAUGGGCAGGUUGAAGGUUGGGUAACACUAACUGGAGGACCGAACCGACUAAUGUUGAAAAAUUAGCGGAUGACUUGUGGCUGGGGGUGAAAGGCCAAUCAAACCGGGAGAUAGCUGGUUCUCCCCGAAAGCUAUUUAGGUAGCGCCUCGUGAAUUCAUCUCCGGGGGUAGAGCACUGUUUCGGCAAGGGGGUCAUCCCGACUUACCAACCCGAUGCAAACUGCGAAUACCGGAGAAUGUUAUCACGGGAGACACACGGCGGGUGCUAACGUCCGUCGUGAAGAGGGAAACAACCCAGACCGCCAGCUAAGGUCCCAAAGUCAUGGUUAAGUGGGAAACGAUGUGGGAAGGCCCAGACAGCCAGGAUGUUGGCUUAGAAGCAGCCAUCAUUUAAAGAAAGCGUAAUAGCUCACUGGUCGAGUCGGCCUGCGCGGAAGAUGUAACGGGGCUAAACCAUGCACCGAAGCUGCGGCAGCGACACUAUGUGUUGUUGGGUAGGGGAGCGUUCUGUAAGCCUGUGAAGGUGGCCUGUGAGGGUUGCUGGAGGUAUCAGAAGUGCGAAUGCUGACAUAAGUAACGAUAAAGCGGGUGAAAAGCCCGCUCGCCGGAAGACCAAGGGUUCCUGUCCAACGUUAAUCGGGGCAGGGUGAGUCGACCCCUAAGGCGAGGCCGAAAGGCGUAGUCGAUGGGAAACAGGUUAAUAUUCCUGUACUUGGUGUUACUGCGAAGGGGGGACGGAGAAGGCUAUGUUGGCCGGGCGACGGUUGUCCCGGUUUAAGCGUGUAGGCUGGUUUUCCAGGCAAAUCCGGAAAAUCAAGGCUGAGGCGUGAUGACGAGGCACUACGGUGCUGAAGCAACAAAUGCCCUGCUUCCAGGAAAAGCCUCUAAGCAUCAGGUAACAUCAAAUCGUACCCCAAACCGACACAGGUGGUCAGGUAGAGAAUACCAAGGCGCUUGAGAGAACUCGGGUGAAGGAACUAGGCAAAAUGGUGCCGUAACUUCGGGAGAAGGCACGCUGAUAUGUAGGUGAAGCGACUUGCUCGUGGAGCUGAAAUCAGUCGAAGAUACCAGCUGGCUGCAACUGUUUAUUAAAAACACAGCACUGUGCAAACACGAAAGUGGACGUAUACGGUGUGACGCCUGCCCGGUGCCGGAAGGUUAAUUGAUGGGGUUAGCGGUAACGCGAAGCUCUUGAUCGAAGCCCCGGUAAACGGCGGCCGUAACUAUAACGGUCCUAAGGUAGCGAAAUUCCUUGUCGGGUAAGUUCCGACCUGCACGAAUGGCGUAAUGAUGGCCAGGCUGUCUCCACCCGAGACUCAGUGAAAUUGAACUCGCUGUGAAGAUGCAGUGUACCCGCGGCAAGACGGAAAGACCCCGUGAACCUUUACUAUAGCUUGACACUGAACAUUGAGCCUUGAUGUGUAGGAUAGGUGGGAGGCUUUGAAGUGUGGACGCCAGUCUGCAUGGAGCCGACCUUGAAAUACCACCCUUUAAUGUUUGAUGUUCUAACGUUGGCCCGUAAUCCGGGUUGCGGACAGUGUCUGGUGGGUAGUUUGACUGGGGCGGUCUCCUCCUAAAGAGUAACGGAGGAGCACGAAGGUUGGCUAAUCCUGGUCGGACAUCAGGAGGUUAGUGCAAUGGCAUAAGCCAGCUUGACUGCGAGCGUGACGGCGCGAGCAGGUGCGAAAGCAGGUCAUAGUGAUCCGGUGGUUCUGAAUGGAAGGGCCAUCGCUCAACGGAUAAAAGGUACUCCGGGGAUAACAGGCUGAUACCGCCCAAGAGUUCAUAUCGACGGCGGUGUUUGGCACCUCGAUGUCGGCUCAUCACAUCCUGGGGCUGAAGUAGGUCCCAAGGGUAUGGCUGUUCGCCAUUUAAAGUGGUACGCGAGCUGGGUUUAGAACGUCGUGAGACAGUUCGGUCCCUAUCUGCCGUGGGCGCUGGAGAACUGAGGGGGGCUGCUCCUAGUACGAGAGGACCGGAGUGGACGCAUCACUGGUGUUCGGGUUGUCAUGCCAAUGGCACUGCCCGGUAGCUAAAUGCGGAAGAGAUAAGUGCUGAAAGCAUCUAAGCACGAAACUUGCCCCGAGAUGAGUUCUCCCUGAGACUUAGAGUCUCCUGAAGGAACGUUGAAGACGACGACGUUGAUAGGCCGGGUGUGUAAGCGCAGCGAUGCGUUGAGCUAACCGGUACUAAUGAACCGUGAGGCUUAACCUUACAACGCCGAAG
rnacentral:rRNA from 1 species